rnacentral:rRNA from 1 species
CCUACGGGAGGCAGCAGUGAGGAAUAUUGGUCAAUGGGCGCGAGCCUGAACCAGCCAAGUAGCGUGAAGGAUGACUGCCCUACGGGUUGUAAACUUCUUUUAUAAAGGAAUAAAGUGAGGCACGUGUGCCUUUUUGCAUGUACUUUAUGAAUAAGGAUCGGCUAACUCCGUGCCAGCAGCCGCGGUAAUACGGAGGAUCCGAGCGUUAUCCGGAUUUAUUGGGUUUAAAGGGGGCGUAGAUGGGUUGUUAAGUCAGUUGUGAAAGGUUGGGGCUCAACCGUAAAAUUGCAAUUGAUACUGGCAGCCUUGAGUACAGUUGAGGUAGGCGGAAUUCGUGGUGUAGCGGUGAAAUGCUUAGAUAUGACGAAGAACUCCGAUUGCGAAGGCAGCCUACUAGACUGCCACUGACAUUGAUGCUCGAAAGUGUGGGUAGCAAACAGGAUUAGAUACCCGGGUAGUC